GUUAGUAUUAGGUGGACACUAGAACCAAAUGUUGUGGUCGAAAAUGGGGCAUAUGAAAUUGAUUAUCCUGGCCGCUGUGUUGUUGACCUUGACGGUGUAUGCAGUUAGUGGUGAGGUGGUUUGUACCUACAGAGAUUGGUCAGAAGAGACUGUCGAUCUGGCUAUUGGGGGUGUGGUCUCUAUUAACGACCAGCUGUGCACGUGUGAAUCUACCUGUACCGCUGCUCUCAAAUGUCCCUAGAAACUUGAACACGGACUCUUGUG